CCUACGGGAGGCAGCAGUAGAGAAUCAUUCACAAUGGGGGAAACCCUGAUGGGGCGACGCCGCGUGGGGGAAUGAAGGUCUGCGGAUUGUAAACCCCUGUCAUGUGGGAGCAAAUUAAAAAGAUAGUACCACAAGAGGAAGAGACGGCUAACUCUGUGCCAGCAGCCGCGGUAAUACAGAGGUCUCAAGCGUUGUUCGGAAUCACUGGGCGUAAAGCGUGCGUAGGCUGUUUCGUAAGUCGUGUGUGAAAGGCGCGGGCUCAACCCGCGGACGGCACAUGAUACUGCGAGACUAGAGUAAUGGAGGGGGAACCGGAAUUCUCGGUGUAGCAGUGAAAUGCGUAGAUAUCGGGAGGAACACUCGUGGCGAAGGCGGGUUCCUGGACAUUAACUGACGCUGAGGCACGAAGGCCAGGGGAGCGAAAAGGAUUAGAUACCCUAGUAGUC
rnacentral:rRNA from 1 species